GGCAGCAACAAUUAGCUCUGAGAUACGGCCUCCCUGGCACCAAGCAGCGGUUGCUAUGUUACACCCUGAGCAGGAGAGAUCCAGCCAGACCCAGCACAGGAGCUCCAUGCCUCACACCAAGCAUUGUCUCGGGCAGGGGGACCGACUGCCAGGUGGUUUUGGCUGCUGGUCUGAGUACAACACAUGCAUAUGAUUACGUAGAAAUAUAGAAAGACAUAGCUAUGCAGAUCUAUCUUCUUCGUACGCACACCUGUAUUUUCAUACAUUCGAGAAAGAAGGAUGCAUUUCUGAGCUGCAGCAUAUCUUUUACAGCGGGGCAACGUGAUUUAUAUCUCUGCCAUUAACAUUUUCAUUCAAGUAACUGCUUAUUUAUUCCUAUAGCAGAGAAGCUGUUCUGACGACGUGGGAAGAUGCCGUUUCUGAGGCAGCCAGGGCUCUCAGCAGCCUGCAUUAUUUCUGGCGGGACUGUCAGUUCUCCAAGCACCACUACCUCAUUUUUAACGCAGAUCUGUUGGAAGACAUUUGGUCCAUCCUGCUUUUGUCAGCCACGGGCAGCAAAGUAGCCAUGGAGAGGCUGUGUGGAGAGACCACCACUCCAUGCCCUGGAGCCGAUGCCAGCAGCAGCCUGCUGUGUGCGCCGGGGGACAGAGAGCCCCAGCAGGCAGCCCAGCGCCCCGGGGAGAAGCCCGACCCCCACACAGGCAGCACGUGGGGGCACCGCGCUCCCACGGAGGCCACCUGUCCGGCUGCACACGCACACGUUUACCUUUGCUGGGCCGUACUUGAGGCCAGCCGGGCAGCGCACAGCUGGUGAGGGCAGGCUGCAUUGAACGCCCGAAGCUGCAAGUGGAAAAGUCGUCGCCCCGGCAGUAGCGAGCGCUUUCGCGUCCUGCUCUGCGGUCACUUGACCCCGGCGCAGCUGAUAGCGCCGUGUGACGCGGGGGCUGUCGCGGCCGUGACUCAGUGCCUCGUGUCGGCCCCAUCUGCUGACUGCCCA
ensembl:lncRNA